rnacentral:rRNA from 1 species
UACAGAGGUCUCAAGCGUUGUUCGGAUUCAUUGGGCGUAAAGGGUGCGUAGGCGGCGCGGUAAGUCGGGUGUGAAAGUCUCGGAGCUUAACUCCGAAACUGCAUUCGAUACUGCCGUGCUUGAGGACUGGAGAGGAGACUGGAAUUUACGGUGUAGCGGUGAAAUGCGUAGAUAUCGUAAGGAAGACCAGUGGCGAAGGCGGGUCUCGUGGACAGUUCCUGACGCUGAGGCACGAAGGUCAGGGGAGCAAACGGG